rnacentral:rRNA from 1 species
GAUGAACGCUGGCGGCGUGCCUAAUACAUGCAAGUCGAGCGAACGGACGAGAAGCUUGCUUCUCUGAUGUUAGCGGCGGACGGGUGAGUAACACGUGGAUAACCUACCUAUAAGACUGGGAUAACUUCGGGAAACCGGAGCUAAUACCGGAUAAUAUUUUGAACCGCAUGGUUCAAAAGUGAAAGACGGUCUUGCUGUCACUUAUAGAUGGAUCCGCGCUGCAUUAGCUAGUUGGUAAGGUAACGGCUUACCAAGGCAACGAUGCAUAGCCGACCUGAGAGGGUGAUCGGCCACACUGGAACUGAGACACGGUCCAGACUCCUACGGGAGGCAGCAGUAGGGAAUCUUCCGCAAAGGGCGAAAGCCUGACGGAGCAACGCCGCGUGAGUGAUGAAGGUCUUCGGAUCGUAAAACUCUGUUAUUAGGGAAGAACAUAUGCGUAAGUAACUGUGCACAUCUUGACGGUACCUAAUCAGAAAGCCACGGCUAACUACGUG